rnacentral:rRNA from 1 species
AUUGAACGCUGGCGGCAGGCCUAACACAUGCAAGUCGAACGAGUGGCGGACGGGUGAGUAAUGUCUGGGAAACUGCCCGAUGGAGGGGGGUAACUACUGGAAACGGUAGCUAAUACCGCAUACCAUCGGAUGUGCCCAGAUGGGAUUAGCUAGUAGGUGGGGUAACGGCUCACCUAGGCGACGAUCCCUAGCUGGUCUGAGAGGAUGACCAGCCACACUGGAACUUAGAAACGGUCCAGACUCCUACGGGAGGCAGCAGUGGGGAAUGUUGCACAAUGGGCGAAAGCCUGAUGCAGCCAUGCAGCGUGUAUGAAGAAGUCCGUAGGGUUGGAAAGUACUUUCAGCGGGGAGGCGUUACUCGCAGAAAAAGCACCGGCUAACUGCGUGCCAGCAGCCGCGGUAAUAC